GAUGAACGCUGGCGGCGUGCUUAACACAUGCAAGUCGAACGAGAAAUGUAGACGGACACCUUCGGGCGGAAGCCUUCAUUUCGAGUGGCGGACGGGUGAGUAACGCGUGGGUAACCUGCCUCAUACAGGGGGAUAACAGUUGGAAACGACUGUUAAUACCGCAUAAGACCACAGCAUCGCAUGAUGCGGGGGUAAAAACUCCGGUGGUAUGAGAUGGACCCGCGUUCGAUUAGCCAGUUGGCGGGGUAACGGCCCACCAAAGCGACGAUCGAUAGCCGAUCUGAGAGGAUGACCGGCCACAUUGGGAAUGAGACACGGCCCAAACUCCUACGGGAGGCAGCAGUGGGGAAUAUUGCACAAUGGGGGAAACCCUGAUGCAGCGACGCCGCGUGAGUGAAGAAGUACUUCGGUAUGUAAAGCUCUAUCAGCAGGGAAGAAAAUGACGGUACCUGAGUAAGAAGCCCCGGCUAACUACGUG
rnacentral:rRNA from 1 species